GCGUUGGUGGCGAAAUGGCAGACGCACAGGACUUAAAAUCCUGGGGAGUUACAUCCGUGUGGGUUCGAGUCCCACCCGACGCA
rnacentral:tRNA from 1 species